UACAGAGGGUGCGAGCGUUAAUCGGAAUUACUGGGCGUAAAGCGUGCGUAGACGGUUAUUUAAGUCGGGUGUGAAAGCCCCGGGCUCAACCUGGGAAUUGCAUUCGAGACUGAAUAGCUAGGGUGCGGUAGAGGGAAGCGGAAUUUCCGGUGUAGCGGUGGAAUGCGUAGAGAUCGGAAAGAACACCAACGGCGAAAGCACUCUGCUGGGCCGACACUGACACUGAGAGACGAAAGCUAGGGGAGCGAAUGGG
rnacentral:rRNA from 1 species